rnacentral:rRNA from 1 species
GUCCUUAGUACGAGAGGACCGGGAUGGAUUGACCUCUAGUGUACGAGUUAUCGCGCCAGCGGUAGCGCUCGGUAGCUAUGUCAAGCAUGGAUAAACGCUGAAUGCAUCUAAGCGUGAAGCCAGACCUGAGAUUAAUUCUGCCAGUGAGACUCGUGGUAGACUACCACGUUAAUAGGCUGGAGGUGUAAGUGUAGUAAUAUAUUUAGCUGACCAGUACUAAUUGUCCCAAGGCUUGACCAU